CAUUGAUUUUCUAGAAUCCAACAUGUACAUAAAAAAAAUUAGUGGAAAUUGAUAUAUUUUUUUGGGAAAUUUGCAGAAAUAACUAACAAAAAAACUAUAAUUCACUAACUAACCAUCCUAACUAUGUAAUUAUAAUAUUCUCUGUAUUAUAUGUAAUAUUACUCAAUUUGCCCUUGUUGCCUCAAUACCUUCAGUAGCAACCACCACCGCUGGCCACCACCG
rnacentral:sRNA from 1 species